CCUACGGGAGGCAGCAGUGAGGAAUAUUGGUCAAUGGGCGCGAGCCUGAACCAGCAAAGUAGCUUGCAUUCUUCCUUCCCUCCUUUUUUUCCCCUUCUUUUCUCCCUUACUACAGUGAGGCACGUGUGCCUUUUUGUAUGUACUUUAUGAAUAAGGAUCGGCUAACUCCGUGCCAGCAGCCGCGGUAAUACGGAGGAUCCGAGCGUUAUCCGGAUUUAUUGGGUUUAAAGGGAGCGUAGAUGGGUUGUUAAGUCAGUUGUGAAAGUUUGCGGCUCAACCGUAAAAUUGCAAUUGAUACUGGCAGCCUUGAGUACAGUUGAGGUAGGCGGAAUUCGUGGUGUAGCGGUGAAAUGCUUAGAUAUCACGAAGAACUCCGAUUGCGAAGGCAGCUUACUAAACUGCCACUGACAUUGAUGCUCGAAAGUGUGGGUAUCAAACAGGAUUAGAGAAAAGGGUAGUC
rnacentral:rRNA from 1 species